UGACAGGAGUGGGGGUGGUUCCAGUGGAGGUGACAUCUGUGGAGGUGGCACCAGUGGAGGUGACGUCAGUAGAGGUGACAUCUGUGGACGUGACAGGAGUGGGGGUGGUUCCAGUGGAGGUGACAGCAGUGGAGGUGACAUCUGUAGGUGUGACAGCAGUGGAAGUGAUGCCAGAGGAGGUGACAGCAGAAGAUGUGGCAGCUGAAGUGGUGACACCAGUGAACGAGACAGCUGAGGAGGUGACAGCUGUGGGGGUGACAGCAGUGGAGGUGACAGCAGUGGAGGUGAUGCCAGUAGAGGUGACAUCUGUGGAGUUGGCACCAGUGGAGGUGACAGAAGUGGAGGUGACAUCUGUGGAGGUGAGAGCAGUGGAGGUGACAGCAGUGGAGGUGACAUCUGUGGAGGUGACAGCAGUGGAAGUGACAGCAGUAAAUGUGGCAUCUGAAGUGGAGACAGCAGUGGAAGUGACAUCAGUGGAGGUGACAGCAGUGGAGGUGACAGCAGUGGAGGUGACAUCUGAGGAAGUGACGUCUGUGGAGGUGACAUCUGUAGGAGUAAUAGCAGAAGAGGUGACAUCUGUGGAGGUGACAUCAGUGGAGGUGACGCCAUUGGAGGUGACAGCAGUGGAAGUGACGCCAGUAGAGGUGACACCUGUGGAGGUGACAGGAGUGGGGGUGGUUCCAGUGGAGGUGACAUCUGUGGAGGUGGCACCAGUGGAGGUGACA
rnacentral:lncRNA from 1 species